rnacentral:rRNA from 1 species
GAUGAACGCUAGCGAUAGGCUUAACACAUGCAAGUCGAGGGGCAGCACAAGGUAUCUUGCUAUCUGGGUGGCGACCGGCGCACGGGUGCGUAACGCGUAUGCAACUUGCCCUAUACAGGAGGAUAACCCGUCGAAAGACGGACUAAUACUGCGUAUGCUCACAACUUGGCAUCAAGUGGUGAGGAAAGAAAUUCGGUAUAGGAUAGGCAUGCGUCCCAUUAGCUUGUUGGUGAGGUAACGGCUCACCAAGGCAACGAUGGGUAGGGGAACUGGGAGGUUUAGCCCCCACACUGGUACUGAGACACGGACCAGACUCCUACGGGAGGCAGCAGUGAGGAAUAUUGGUCAAUGGGCGCGAGCCUGAACCAGCCAAGUCGCGUGAAGGAUGACUGUCUUAUGGAUUGUAAACUUCUUUUAUACGGGAAUAACAAGAGUCACGUGUGACUCCCUGCAUGUACCGUAUGAAUAAGCAUCGGCUAACUCCGUG